rnacentral:rRNA from 1 species
UACAGAGGGGGCAAGCGUUAUUCGGAAUUAUUGGGCGUAAAGCGCACGUAGGCGGCUUUGUAAGUUAGAGGUGAAAGCCCGGGGCUCAACUCCGGAACUGCCUUUAAGACUGCAUCGCUAGAGUCCGGAAGAGGAGAGUGGAAUUCCUGGUGUAGCGGUGAAAUGCGCAGAUAUCAGGAAGAACACCCGUGGCGAAAAGCGGCUCUCUGGAACGGUACUGACGCUGAGACGCGAAAGCGUGGGGAGCGAACAGG